GAUGAACGCUGGCGGCGUGCCUAAUACAUGCAAGUCGAGCGAACAGACGAGGAGCUUGCUCCUCUGACGUUAGCGGCGGACGGGUGAGUAACACGUGGAUAACCUACCUAUAAGACUGGGAUAACUUCGGGAAACCGGCGCUAAUACCGGAUAAUAUAUUGAACCGCAUGGUUCAAUAGUGAAAGACGGUUUUGCUGUCACUUAUAGAUGGAUCCGCGCCGCAUUAGCUAGUUGGUAAGGUCACGGCUUACCAAGGCAACGAUGCGUAGACGACCGGAGAGGGUGAUAGGCCACACGGGAACUGGGACACGGUCCAGACUCCUACGGGAGGGCGCAGUAGGGUAUCUUCCGCAAUGGGCGAAAGCCUGACGGAGCAACGGCGCGUGAGUGAUGAAGGUCUUCGGAUCGUAAAACUCUGUUAUUAGGGAAGAACAAAUGUGUAAGUAACUAUGCACGUCUUGACGGUACCUAAUCAGAAAGCCACGGCUAACUACGUG
rnacentral:rRNA from 1 species